UACGGGGGGGAGCAAGCGUUGUUCGGAUUUACUGGGCGUAAAGGGCGCGUAGGCGCCAGCACAAGUCGGUUGUGAAAUCCCCGGGCUUAACCUGGGAACUGCAUUGGUGACUGGCAGGCUUUGAGUGUGGCAGAGGGAGGUAGAAUUCCACGUGUAGCAGUGAAAUGCGUAGAGAUGUGGAGGAAUACCGAUGGCGAAGGCAGCCUCCUGGGCCAACACUGACGCUCAUGCACGAAAGCGUGGGGAGCAAACAGG
rnacentral:rRNA from 1 species